rnacentral:misc_RNA from 1 species
GAUGAAGAACGCAGCGAAAUGCGAUAAGUAAUGUGAAUUGCAGAAUUCAGUGAAUCAUCGAAUCUUUGAACGCACAUUGCGCCCCUUGGUAUUCCGAGGGGCAUGCCUGUUCGAGCGUCAUUAUAACCCCUCAAGCUCAGCUUGGUGUUGGGGCCUGCCGCACGGGCAGCCCUUAAAAUCAGUGGCGGUGCCAUCUGGCUCUAAGCGUAGUAAUUCUUCUCGCUAUAGAGUCCCGAUGGAUGCUUGCCAUUAACCCCCAAUUUUCUAUGGUUGACCUCGGAUCAGGUAGGGAUACCCGCUGAACUUAAGCAUAUCAAUAAGCGGAGGA